UUUUUGUCGACUUUCAAAAUCUUACGUGCACGUCGUCGAAAAAUAUUCUUAGUUUUUCGAUACGAGUCCAAUAAUGAAAGUUUUUAUUUUUGGACGACGAGUGAAUAGUGAACUAGAUUUUCUCGAUAAACGAACCGAGCUCGUUUAUCAGAAUUUCGAGAACGAGCUUGUGUUUUCUAUAUUUAUAUAGAAUUACGAGUGCAAUGAAAGUGAGUAGAGGUUGAGAGGGCGAGUAACGAAGAGUAUGGGUAGUUAAUCGUUAAAACGAGACGAAACGAGAUAUUUAACGACUAACGGGUUAAUAUCCUAAAUAUCUAACCUACCCUACCCCUAACCACCCCCCCAACUGCCCACUAUCCCUCUAUCUCACCUAACUCACGCUGCACACACAACACACACACUAAAACACAUUAGAAACACACACACACUUCACGUUAACACCAUUUCUUUGGUGUUCAAGCUUUUGACCUCCGAUUUGAGCACCGAGACGAGCGCCGAUCAUCUUUUCGAUCACGUAUCUAAGUAGGUCCUUUUGGGAAGUAACGACUUGAGGGAGAGAGUGACGUUACUCAUUGAUACAGAGACACAACGAGGUUGAGCUGAUGUGAUGAUGGUGCUGCAAUGAGCGGAGUCUCCAGGGUUGUUAAUAAAUAGUUAACAUGUCUAGAAUAUGUCUUCAUACAUAUGUCUAGCUACUUUCCGCUGCAAGAUGUUGUUGAUGUUAUAGUAUGUUAUGUCAUACUUUGAGUCUUAAGAGAAUGGUUGCAUAUGAUGUAUAACUUGAUUAAUGAUAUUAAUUAACUUUUAUGCAGUCUUUCAUAGACUGUUUUCAA